AUUGAACGCUGGCGGCAGGCCUAACACAUGCAAGUCGAGCGAGCGGCGGACGGGUGAGUAAUGUCUGGGAAACUGCCUGAUGGAGGGGGAUAACUACUGGAAACGGUAGCUAAUCCCGCAUACCAUCAGAUGUGCCCAGAUGGGAGUAGCUAGUCGGUGGGGUAACGGCUCACCUAGGCGACGAUCCCACACUUGUCUGCGAGGAUGACCAGGCACACGGGAACUGAGACACGGGCCAGACUCCUACGGGAGGCAGCAGUGAGGAAUAUUGGACAAUGGGCGAAAGCCUAAUGCAGCCAUGCCGCGUGUGUGAAGAAGGCCUUCGGGUUGUAAAGCACUUUCAGCGGGGAGGCGUUACCCGCAGAAGAAGCACCGGCUAACUCCGUGCCAGCAGCCGCGGUAAUAC
rnacentral:rRNA from 1 species